GAUGAACGCUGGCGGCGUGCCUAAUACAUGCAAGUCGAGCGAACAGAUGAGGAGCUUGCUCCUCUGACGUUAGCGGCGGACGGGUGAGUAACACGUGGAUAACCUACCUAUAAGACUGGGAUAACUUCGGGAAACCGGAGCUAAUACCGGAUAAUAUAUUGAACCGCAUGGUUCAAUAGUGAAAGACGGUUUUGCUGUCACUUAUAGAUGGAUCCGCGCCGCAUUAGCUAGUUGGUAAGGUAACGGCUUACCAAGGCAACGAUGCGUAGCCGACCUGUGAGGGUGGUCGGCCACACUGGAACUGAGACACGGUCCAGACUCCUACGGGAGGCAGCAGUAGGGAAUCUUCCGCAAUGGGCGAAAGCCUGACGGAGCAACGCCGCGUGAGUGAUGAAGGUCUUCGGAUCGUAAAACUCUGUUAUUAGGGAAGAACAAAUGUGUAAGUAACUAUGCACGUCUUGACGGUACCUAAUCAGAAAGCCACGGCUAACUACGUG
rnacentral:rRNA from 1 species